rnacentral:rRNA from 1 species
AAUUCCUACGGGGGGCAGCAGUGAGGGAUAUUGGUCAGUGGGGGAAACCCUGAACCAGCAACGCCGCGUGAGGGAAGACGGUUUUCGGAUUGUAAACCUCUGUCCUCUGUGAAGAUAAUGACGGUAGCAGAGGAGGAAGCUCCGGCUAACGAAAUGCCAGCAGCCGAGGUAAUACGUAGGGAGCAAGCGUUGUCCGGAUUUACUGGGUGUAAAGGGUGCGUAGGCGGCUUUAUAAGUCAGAAGUGAAAUCCAUGGGCUUAACCCAUGAACGGCUUUUGAAACUGUAGAGCU